CUUGCCUCCUCCAGGAUGGGCAAGGCUGGUGUUUCACUUCUAAAGGCCUUGCCUUAUAUUUCACGUAUCCUGAAUGGAUCGUUUUUCUAAUCCAUCAAGCUUCCCCUGAAUUAUAUCCCGGCUUCCUUGAAACUGUGUUUUCCUUCUGGUGCCCCAGGAUAAUCCAGGAUCUAGCUCUACGAUGCACUUAGCUGGCUUUGGUUUGUUCAUUUGUUCACCUACCCACCCAUUUAGUCAACAGUUACUUACUGGGUUUCUCUGCACCAGCCCCUCUGCUGGCAUGCGGAUGCCUAAGGCAGCCCCUGGCUUCCACGGAGGUUGUGGUCUUAGCAAAAAACAUAGAAAUGGGACAAGGGCUGUCCAGGGGCCUGGGAGAAAAUAUGAGGGGGACUAACCAUCUCUCUGGGAGAACGCAUUAUGGCUUAGAACUCCAUUUCUGGGGGCGCCUGGGUGGCGCAGUCGGUUAAGCGUCCGACUUCAGCCAGGUCACGAUCUCACGGUCCGUGAGUUCGAGCCCCGCGUCGGGCUCUGGGCUGAUGGCUCAGAGCCUGGAGCCUGUUUCCGAUUCUGUGUCUCCCUCUCUCUCUGCCCCUCCCCCGUUCAUGCUCUGUCUCUCUCUGUCCCAAAAAUAAAUAAAAACGUUGAAAAAAGAAAUAAAAAAAAAAAAAAAAAGAACUCCAUUUCUGUAACGCCAGGUAUGCUGCGGUAAACAAAAUAAAAAACACCAACCAAACAAACAAAACAAACCUCCAACUCUCAGUACGUUAACACAAUAAAGUUUUGUUGUUGUCGUUGUAUUCUUAUUCGUGCAUUCCAAUGUAGGUUUUGACUCCCCAGGGCAGCCGUCCUCGCUAGAGAUUCUGCUGCUUCUAUCCUCCGGCAUCAUGUCAACACGGGUCAACAUCCAGGUUGGCGGCGGCAGGGAAAGAAGAGGUGGCGGAACUCACACGUGCUUUGAAGGGUCUUGGACUUCAAGACACCCACCGCACCCCUGCCCACACGCCAUUGGCCGGGACUGGUCACGUGGCCCGGGCCGCCGCGCAGGGGAUGCUGGGAGAUUCCGCCUUGCCACGUGCUCAGGUGGAGGAGACGGAUUGGUGAGCGCGUCUCCCACAGCGACCCGCAGGGUGGAGUUGGGGAAGAAAAGACUCUUUUCACAGAAAAGCACCAGAAACCAAACAGGGAACAGAGCUGCCACAUGGUGUGUAUCAGAGCUCCGAAGAGAGGCAAACUUCCAGGAAUGAGAACUUCUG
rnacentral:lncRNA from 1 species